rnacentral:lncRNA from 1 species
CGGUGUCAAGCUUUAAAAUAUGAAAGCAUUGUUUUAGCAGGUUUUGAAAUGGAAAUGAUUUUGAAUAUCUUGAAUCAAAUAUUUUAAAGUUGCUCAAACAAAGAAACAUGGUAAAACUUGCAUUGGUUUUAAUUUUUCAUAAUUUUAAGUGUAAGUUAUAAAGGGUUUUAGAACUUAAAACAUCAGACUUUGCUUCUGAACAAUUAUGGGCGUAAAACUCGUUCGCACAGUUAUCGCACGACUUUGAUUUUUCGUUGUGUUAAGUGUAAGUUAUAAAGGAUUUUGGAGCUUAAAACAUCAGACUUUCUUUCUGAACAAUUUUGGGCAUAAAAGUCUUUCGCACGAUUAUUGCACGAUUUUAAUUUUUCGUUGUGUUUCAUACUUAUUUUCUUUUAGAUACAUUUUUAGGCGCUCUAAGGGAGUUGAGGAAUUACAUAUGAACGAUCUUCAUAUUUGGAUAUUGUUUGUGAAGUUUUUAUUGGUGCUUGAUGUGAUUAAUUUUGUGCUAAAUUGUUUUAGUAGUUUUAUAAGGACAGCACUCGAAGCCUAAUGGUUUUGAAAUUUUAUGUUUUGCUUUGAAAAUGAUUUUCACUGGUGUCAAGCUUUAAGAUAUGAAAGCAUUGUCUUAGCAGGUUUUUAAAUGGAAAUGAAUUUGAAUAUCUUGAAUCCAAUGUUUUAAACUUGCUCAAACAAAGAAAUAUGGUAAAACUUGCAUUGGUUUUUAUUUUUCAUAGUGUUAAGUGUAUGUUAUAAAGGAUUUUGGAGCUUAAAACAUUAGACUUUGUUUUCUGAACAAUUAUGGGCUUAAAAACCAUUCGCACAAUUAUUGCACGAUUUUUAAUUUUCGUUGUUUUUCAUACUUAUUUGCUUUUAGAAACAUUUUUAGGUGCACUAAGGAUGUUGAGGAAUUAGGUAUUAGUGAUCUUCAUAUUUGGAUAUUAUUUGUGAAGUUGUUAUUAGUGUUUGAUUUGAUUAAUUAUGUUUUAAAUUGUUUUAGCAGUUUAUAGGGGGAGCACUCGAAGCCUAACGGUUUUGAAAUUUUAUGUUUUGCUUUUAAAAUGAUUUUCACUGGUGUCAAGCUUUAAAAUAUAAGAGCAACGUUUUAGCAAGUUUUUAAAUGCAAAUGAAUUUGAAUAUCUUGAAUCCAAUGUUUUAAACUUGCUCAAACAAAGAAACAUGGUAAAACAUGCAUUGGUUUUAAUUUUUCGUAGUGUUAAGUGUAUGUUAUAAAGGAUUUUGGAGCUUAAAACAUUAGACUUUGUCUCUGAGCAAUUGUUGGCAUAAAAACCAUUCGCACAAUUAUUGCACGAUUUUUAUUUUUCGUUGUUAUUCAUACUUAUUUGCUUUUAGAUACAUUUUUAGGUGCUUUAAGGAUGUUGGAGAAUUACCUAUUAAUGAUCUUCAUAUUUGAAACUUAUUUGUGAAGUUGUUAUUGGUGCUUGAUGUGAUUAAUUAUGUUUUAAAUUGUUUUAGCAGUUUAUAGAGGGAGCACUCGGAGCCUAAUGGUUUUGAAAUUUUAUGUUUGGCUUUGAAAAUGAUUUUCACUGGUGUAAAGCUUUCAAAUAUAAGAGCAUUGUUUUAGCAUGGUUUUAAACGCAAAUGAAUUCGAAUAUCUU